UUCACCCAAUUUUACCCAGAACGAGGAUUUGGCUUCUCCCAGGUGAGUUUUUGGGGUUCUCCCAUCCUUUUCCUCCUCGCUGCGGAUCCCACGGAGCUCCGAGCUGGGAUAUUCCCGGGAAAUUUGGGGUUUUCCCAACUUUUUUGGGUGGAAUGAAGCAGCUUUUGGGAUUUGGGAUCGCUUUGGAAUUUCCGCCUCCCCAAGAGCUGGAAAAAUCCAGGAAUUUUUUCCCCCUGGACCCUCAACGUGACGAGGAAAUCCCGCCAGGAAAACCAAAUCCGUUUCCUCCCCUCCGCAGCUUUUUGGGGCGCGGAUCCUCCCUCGCUUUGAAUAAUUUCCGGCCCCGGAGAGAAUAAAAAAAAGCCAAAUUUGCCUGGUUCGGCCCCAAAAAAACAAAACGAAACAGGAAAUGAGAGGCCCAGGGGUGAAGAUCUUCCCGUCAGCACCUGCUCCGAGCCCCGGAGCGGCUCCGUGAUCCCGGGAUGGGCUCCGGCCUUUGGCUCCGGCUGCUCCUCGCCCUCGGAGCUCUUUGGGGGAUCAGAGCCCGGGAAACGGUGCUGGGAACUUUGGGAGAGGCGACCUUGCUGCGGAUCCCCCGCCAGCUCCAGGAGCGCACCCAGCGAUCCGGGGAAGCCUCCUGGAAAAAACUGACGGAGGAGCUGCAGAGGAAGAAAUUCCUGCUGAAGAUUUCCGGGGAGAACUACACGGAGUUCGAGCCGGGCCGGGUGAGCUUCCACCCCCGGGAUUUUUCCCUGGAAAUCCUCAACACCAGCCGGGAUGACGGCCGGCUCUACGAGUACAGCGUCAGCAACGGGCAGGAGGAGGAGAUCUGGCAGAUCCAGCUGGAAGUGUUCGAGCCGGUGGCCCAUCCCAGCAUCCGGAUCCUCCGCCGGGAAUUGUCCAACGGCAGCUGCUCCCUGGAGCUCCGCUGCACCUCGGAGAGGGGGGACGAGGUUUCCUACAGCUGGGAGAGCCGGGAGAACGGCACCGGGGGGAUCUGUUCCGGGAACGGCAGCUCCCUGAACCUCUCCUAUUCCCUGCGGAACGCCGGCUUCGGAUGCGUCUGCACCGCCAGGAAUCCCGUCAGCAGCCGGGAGGCCGCCUUCGACUCUUCCCGGUGUGGCUUCGAGCAGCUGGAUGUCCCCAGGGUGCAGCCGGAGCUCCUGGCGCCGCUGCUGGCGCUCGCUGCCAUCGCCAUCGUCACCACCGCCGUUGUCACCUUCAGGGCCACCAAACGUGAGUUCGGAUUCCCAAAAUCCCAAAUUCCUGGGAGAGAAUUCCCAGGCGGUGGAGGCCGAGGUGUGACCGGUGGUCACUCAGUGUCCGGUGGUCACUCGGUGUCCGGUGGUUCUCCAGGGGUGGCGGCUCCAAAUGUCCCUUCCGAGGUCCGGCCGCCUUUUCCGGGGGAAAAAAAUUCCUCCUGGAAGAGUUAAAAACCUUGGAAUGGAGGAAAACCCUUGGGAAAACCCUUGGAAUGGAUUAUCCCCACCCUUGGGAAGGAGAAAAAUUUGGUUUAUUUCUCCAAGUGUUAAAGGCAGGGGGGAAAAUGGUUUAAAAAAAACGUUUUUAGGGAAAAAAAAUAUUUAAAAACGUGGAUGGAAUUUUCCAUGGAUUCUUUUCCCGUGGGAUGGGUGUCCAUGACCACCUCACACAAUCCCAAAUGGAAUUGGAUCAUCCAAACCCAAAAAUUGGAGAGAGCAGCUUCUCUUCCCGUUCUCUGGUGACCGGGACCCACCCCAGGACACUCCGGACACGUCCCCGGCCACUCCGGACAGCGCCGGAGCCA